rnacentral:rRNA from 2 species
CUUUCAACAACGGAUCUCUUGGUUCUGGCAUCGAUGAAGAACGCAGCGAAAUGCGAUAAGUAAUGCGAAUUGCAGAAUCCGUGAGUCAUCGAAUCUUUGAACGCACAUUGCGCCCUUUGGCAUUCCGAAGGGCAUGCCUGUUCGAGCGUCAUUAUCACCCCUCAAGCUCCGGCUUGGUGUUGGG